rnacentral:rRNA from 1 species
CGGUCCGCCUCACCGCGAGUACUGGUCCGGAUGGGCCUUUCUUUCUGGGGAAUCCCAUGGCCUUCACUGGCUGUGGCGGGGAACCAGGACUUUUACUGUGAAAAAAUUAGAGUGUUCAAAGCAGGCCUUUGCUCGGAUACAUUAGCAUGGAAUAAUAGAAUAGGACGUGCGGUUCUAUUUUGUUGGUUUCUAGGACCGCCGUAAUGAUUAAUAGGGAUAGUCGGGGGCGUCAGUAUUCAGCUGUCAGAGGUGAAAUUCUUGGAUUUGCUGAAGACUAACUACUGCGAAAGCAUUCGCCAAGGAUGUUUUCAUUAAUCAGGGAACGAAAGUUAGGGGAUCGAAGACGAUCAGAUACCGUCGUAGUCUUAACCAUAAACUAUGCCGACUAGGGAUCGGGCGGGGUUUCUAUGAUGACCCGCUCGGCACCUUACGAGAAAUCAAAGUUUUUGGGUUCUGGGGGGAGUAUGGUCGCAAGGCUGAAACUUAAAGAAAUUGACGGAAGGGCACCACGGAGCCUGCGGCUUAAUUUGACUCAACACGGGGAAACUCACCAGGUCCAGACAAAAUAAGGAUUGACAGAUUGAGAGCUCUUUCUUGAUCUUUUGGAUGGUGGUGCAUGGCCGUUCUUAGUUGGUGGAGUGAUUUGUCUGCUUAAUUGCGAUAACGAACGAGACCUCGGCCCUUAAAUAGCCCGGUCCGCGUUUGCGGGCCGCUGGCUUCUUAGGGGGAGCUCAAGCCGAUGGAAGUACGUGGCAAU